UACGGGAGGCAGCAGUGGGGAAUAUUGCACAAUGGGCGCAAGCCUGAUGCAGCCAUGCCGCGUGUAUGAAAAAGGCCUUCGGGUUGUAAAGUACUUUCAGUCGUGAGGAAGGUGUUAAGGUUAAUAACCUUAGCAAUUGACGUUAGCGACAGAAGAAGCACUGGCUAACUCCGUGCCAGCAGCCGCGGUAAUACGGAGGGUGCGAGCGUUAAUCGGAAUUACUGGGCGUAAAGGGCACGCAGGCGGUUAAUUAAGUUGGAUGUGAAAUCCCCGGGCUUAACCUGGGAAUGGCAUUCAAGACUGGUUAGCUAGAGUCUUGUAGAGGGGGUAGAAUUCCAUGUGUAGCGGUGAAAUGCGUAGAGAUGUGGAGGAAUACCGGUGGCGAAGGCGGCCCCUGGACAAAGACUGACGCUCAUGUGCGAAAGCGUGGGGAGCAAACAGGGAUUAGAUACC
rnacentral:rRNA from 1 species